GAUGAACGCUGGCGGCGUGCUUAACACAUGCAAGUCGAACGAGAAAUGGAGACGGAAACCUUCGGGCGGAAGGCUUCAUUUCGAGUGGCGGACGGGUGAGUAACGCGUGGGUAACCUGCCUCAUACAGGGGGAUAACAGUUGGAAACGACUGUUAAUGCCGCAUAAGACCACAGCACCGCAUGGUGCGGGGGUAAAAACUCCGGUGGUAUGAGAUGGACCCGCGUUCGAUUAGCCAGUUGGCGGGGUAACGGCCCACCAAAGCGACGAUCGAUAGCCGAUCUGAGAGGAUGACCGGCCACAUUGGGACUGAGACACGGCCCAAACUCCUACGGGAGGCAGCAGUGGGGAAUAUUGCACAAUGGGGGAAACCCUGAUGCAGCGACGCCGCGUGAGUGAAGAAGUACUUCGGUAUGUAAAGCUCUAUCAGCAGGGAAGAAAAUGACGGUACCUGAGUAAGAAGCCCCGGCUAACUACGUG
rnacentral:rRNA from 1 species